GAUGAAGAACGUAGCGAAAUGCGAUAAGUAAUGUGAAUUGCAGAAUUCAGUGAAUCAUCGAAUCUUUGAACGCACAUUGCGCCCGCCAGUAUUCUGGCGGGCAUGCCUGUUCGAGCGUCAUUACAACCCUCAGGCCCCCGGGCCUGGCGUUGGGGAUCGGCGGAAGCCCCCUGCGGGCACAACGCCGUCCCCCAAAUACAGUGGCGGUCCCGCCGCAGCUUCCAUUGCGUAGUAGCUAACACCUCGCAACUGGAGAGCGGCGCGGCCACGCCGUAAAACACCCAACUUCUGAAUGUUGACCUCGAAUCAGGUAGGAAUACCCGCUGAACUUAAGCAUAUCAAUAAGGGAGGA
rnacentral:misc_RNA from 1 species